CCCCAGAUGUUGCUGAACUACAACUCCCUGGCUGGCUGUUUCAUUGAAAGAAUCAUGGGAGUUGUAGUUCAGCAACAUCUGGGG